UAUAUUUUAGUAUAUUUGUAUAAAAAUUUUUGAAAUUUUAGGUAAUAGUUGAAUCUAUUAAAUAUAA
rnacentral:tRNA from 1 species